rnacentral:misc_RNA from 1 species
AGCAGCCGCGGUAAUUCCAGCUCCAAUAGCGUAUAUUAAAGUUGCUGCAGUUAAAAAGCUCGUAGUUGAAUUUCGGGACCAUCAUGUCGGUCGUGCCUCGGUACGUACUGGCAUUGUUGGUUUCUACCUUCUGACGAACCAUGAUGUCAUUUAUUUGGUGUCGUGGGAAAUCAGGACUGUUACUUUGAAAAAUUAGAGUGUUUAAAGCAGGCUCACGCUUGAAUACAUUAGCAUGGAAUAAUGAAAUAGGACGUUUGAUUCUAUUUUGUUGGUUUCUAGGAUCGACGUAAUGAUUAAUAGGGAUAGUUGGGGGCAUUAGUAUUCAAUUGUCAGAGGUGAAAUUCUUGGAUUUAUUGAAGACUAACUACUGCGAAAGCAUUUGCCAAGGAUGUUUUCAUUAAUCAAGAACGAAAGUUAGGGGAUCGAAGACGAUCAGAUACCGUCGUAGUCUUAACCAUAAACUAUGCCGACUAGGGAUCGGAUGAUGUUAAUUUUUAAUGACU